UACGAAGGGGGCUAGCGUUGCUCAGAAUCACUGGGCGUAAAGCGCACGUAGGCGGCUUUUUAAGUCAGGGGUGAAAUCCUGGAGCUCAACUCCAGAACUGCCUUUGAUACUGAGAGGCUUGAGUCCGGGAGAGGUGAGUGGAACUGCGAGUGUAGAGGUGAAAUUCGUAGAUAUUCGCAAGAACACCAGUGGCGAAGGCGGCUCACUGGCCCGGUACUGACGCUGAGGUGCGAAAGCGUGGGGAGCAAACAGG
rnacentral:rRNA from 1 species